rnacentral:rRNA from 1 species
UACGUAGGGUGCGAGCGUUGUCCGGAAUUACUGGGCGUAAAGAGCUCGUAGGUGGUUUGUCGCGUUGUUCGUGAAAACUCACAGCUCAACUGUGGGCGUGCGGGCGAUACGGGCAGACUGGAGUACUGCAGGGGAGACUGGAAUUCCUGGUGUAGCGGUGGAAUGCGCAGAUAGUCAGGAGGAACACCGGUGGCGAAGGCGGGUCUCUGGGCAGUAACUGAC